UCGGUAGGCCUAUGGCACCUUUCCAUGAAGGUUAAUGAUGAGACUUGAACCGGUAGGCCCAUGGCACCCUUUCAAGAGGAGUUAAUGAGCUUUCCUAAAUGAACCUUGAAACGGUAGGCUUAAAGCACCCUUUCACGUGUUAAUGAAUGUAUUUUGGAGUUGGUAGGCCAAUGGCACCUCUCAUAUGUGAUAAUGUCAAGAUAACGAACUAUUCUAUGGGAAUGUUGGCUAAGCACCGAGUGGAUUUGGUUAGAUGGAAACUCCCCCAAUAGUUAGGCAUGAGUUUCAAUGAUCGUCUACCUUAUCCCAUAAACUAUGUGCCCGCAUAGGUAGCUAGUGGAUCCAUUAAGCUAUAUAUACCGGUCUUCCUUAGGCAAGUAGACCACCUCUUUACGGUGUGGGGACUUAUGACACCGGAUUCCAUGACAAGCUCUCAUGGUCUAUGUCGGUUAAACGCUUACUUCCCAUCAUGCGAGAUUUCAUUAUGGUUUCUUGAUAGGUUCUACAAAGUGUAGGUAGUAGUAUGGGAUGCUACCUAUACAUUGCACGAGUAGGCUUGGAGAGGGUCAUAGUGAGUUUCUCUAAAUCCUAAUGUAUGUGAUACAAUUGUGGCCUAAAUGAGGUUAUUAAAGAAUGUUGGCUCUCAAAUGCUUAAUAUGAGAUGCAUGCUAUACUUGGGUUAUAUUACGAGUUAUUUUCCCUUGUCAUGUCUUAAUUAAUGAUAUACCUCUUAUGUAUGAAUAUUGUGCAAAGGUGAAAGAAAGGAAUGAUAAGUUAC
rnacentral:lncRNA from 1 species